rnacentral:rRNA from 1 species
AUGAUGCUGAAGGUUUUAUUGAUUCUAUUCAAGCCAAUUGGCACAAUGGUGCACUACAGUGUGUACGUGGUGAAUAGAUAUCGUGGGAGCAUUGACAUCCUUGAUUCACUUUGUUACGAUAAUAUGGAAACGUCGCGAUCGAGUUUCCACGGGGACUGCAAAAAUAUCAUGAAGAGAUUUGUUGGGUUGCUCGAGGAGGUGUACGGCAAGGCUGCAUACAAGGCGAGCAAGCAGCCUAACUGGGUGACUAUUGCAAAGAGGCCGACUUCCAUCGAUGUUCCGAAGCAGAAGAAUAAUGAUUGUGGUUUCUUUGCCGUGAAGUUCAGCUCUUCGUAUGACGGCGAUGAGAUUGUUGAAGAUUUUGGUGAUGUGGAAGCUGCUGCAGAUGACUGGAAGGCUGAGUUCAUGCACACUCUGGUUUUUAGCGAGAAGAAUGAAGUCAUGCGUUCAGAGCUCCCUAAAGAGAUCGAGUCCUUUGGCCCGUGA